rnacentral:rRNA from 1 species
GACAGAGGUGCCGAGCGUUAGGCGGAAUCACUGGGCUUAAAGCGUGUGUAGGCGGGCCGUUAAGUGCCUUGUGAAAUCCCCCGGCUCAACCGGGGAACGGCUGGGCAUACUGGCGGCCUUGAGUCACUCAGGGGUCAGCGGAACAAACGGUGGAGCGGUGAAAUGCGUAGAUAUCGUUUGGAACGCCGACGGCGAAAGCAGCUGACUGGGAGUGAUCUGACGCUGAGACAACGAAAGCCAGG